UAUUGCACAAUGGAGGAAACUCUGAUGCAGCGACGCCGCGUGAGUGAAGAAGGUUUUCGGAUCGUAAAACUCUGUUGUUAGAGAAGAACGUUGCAUAGAGUGGAAAAUUAUGCAAGUGACGGUAUCUAACCAGAAAGGGACGGAUAACUACGUGCCAGCAGCCGCGGUAAUACGUAGGUCCCGAGCGUUGUCCGGAUUUAUUGGGCGUAAAGCGAGCGCAGGUGGUUUAAUAAGUCUGAUGUAAAAGGCAGUGGCUCAACCAUUGUGUGCAUUGGAAACUGUUAGACUUGAGUGCAGUAGAGGAGAGUGGAAUUCCAUGUGUAGCGGUGAAAUGCGUAGAUAUAUGGAGGAACACCGGUGGCGAAAGCGGCUCUCUGGACUGUCACUGACACUGAGGCUCGAAAGCGUGGGUAGCAAACAG
rnacentral:rRNA from 1 species